ACGUGAAUGACCAAAUUGACCAAGAAAACGGCGAUUGUCGCCGAAAAGCGACAAGUUUGCAGCUUUGUCCAAUGUGUCAAAUGUGAAAUGAGAAGAAUCACGCACCACCACUGGAUCCCUGUAAAGAAGAGGACCGUUGACGCCGAGAGACGGACGCCAUUGUUGAAGGCUGGCAGCGCAAGUUUGAAGGUUAUGCAUAAUGCUCCUCAAAGUGGAAUACCAUGGACUUAGAAAGUACCUAAAACUACAGCCUGGAUUUUCAUAUGGAAGUUUCAUUGAAGAAGGUGAGCCUUUAUGUGACCUUGUAGAGCUUGUAGUCGAGAGCGGUAUUGCAGGGGCAUAUACGAGGGACAUUAAGUGCAAACAAUAGCCCAUUUUGUGCAUUGCACUGGUAUCCAGCCAAAAGCUUAAGUAUGAUAUCUACA